rnacentral:rRNA from 1 species
GACGGAGGGGGCUAGCGUUGUUCGGAAUUACUGGGCGUAAAGCGCGCGUAGGCGGCUUUGUAAGUUAGAGGUGAAAGCCCGGAGCUCAACUCCGGAAUUGCCUUUAAGACUGCAUCGCUAGAAUCAUGGAGAGGUUAGUGGAAUUCCGAGUGUAGAGGUGAAAUUCGUAGAUAUUCGGAAGAACACCAGUGGCGAAGGCGACUAACUGGACAUGUAUUGACGCUGAGGUGCGAAAGCGUGGGGAGCAAACAGG